UACGUAGGGCGCAAGCGUUGUCCGGAUUUAUUGGGCGUAAAGAGCUCGUAGGCGGUUUGUCGCGUCGGCCGUGAAAUCUCCACGCUUAACGUGGAGCGUGCGGUCGAUACGGGCAGACUUGAGUUCGGUAGGGGAGACUGGAAUUCCUGGUGUAGCGGUGAAAUGCGCAGAUAUCAGGAGGAACACCAACGGCGAAGGCAGCACUCUGGGCCGGUACUGACGCUGAGGAGCGAAAGCGUGGGGAGCGAACAGG
rnacentral:rRNA from 1 species